ensembl:lncRNA
CACUGCCUUCCGCUCAGCCGCUGCUGUCCGGCCCCGGUCAGAUCCCGGCACCGCAGCUCCGGGAGCCUCUGAGCGGGAUAGGGGGGGGAGCACGUUGGGGAGAGCCCGGAGCAAGGGGUAGUUGGUGAGGAUGUCUCGACCUCAAGGAAUAACCUUGAAAGAACUCUCAGCCCAACAGCAGAUCACUACUUUGCAUCCUACCUCUUCAGCCAGGAGAGCUCACGUGAUGGUCUCUGUCUGCUGUAAGAACCUGCUGAGUUAUACAGAACCAAAAUAUUAUUAAUUAACCAGCUAUUCCUUGACUACAAUAACCACAGUAGCUAAUUUUAGCUCAGAAAGUUUCUGCAACCUGCCUGCAAUUAUGUAUGUGCCUACCAUUGGUAGAUUGGUUAGCAAACAAUGCAAUGAACUGAUAACAGCAGAGAAUAAAACAUUGGUUUUGAGACUGAGCUUUACAACCAGGAUCAGCAGAUGAAGGAAGCAGAGGGGCUUUAAG